CUAACCGCUAAAUUUAAGCAUAUUACUAAGCGGUU
rnacentral:rRNA from 1 species